CGGUUUUCCGUAAAAAAAUUCUGUUGUACAACAAGUGUGAAAUAAAUAUUUCUAUUUCUGUUGACUGGCUUAACUAAUAAAUGGUUCCGAGACAAGUCAAGAGGCCACGGAACAGGAGCGGUACCUCACAGGAGGAAUAGAAGGAUCAACCGGUGAAUCAACAACCGAACCCGCAACACAACCAUCCGCGCGGAAACAGAUCUUUUCUACCAUGUCACAAACAAAUUCUGCCGCUGCGGCCUCCGCAACAAUUGAACACCUGGCCACGGACGACUUAUCUUGCAUCGGCAGUAGGAAUAUUGGACAAAGGUGGGGAGAUCCUGUGCCGUU